GUACAAUACUUCUCAUGAUUUCAAUUAAAUUAAGCAAUGUCAGAGGAGAGAACAAGUGGGUUGCGGUUAUUCCCUAGUGUUAUUAUUGUGCACUCAAUUCGCCAUCCUCGCUUUUAUAUAGUGCACAAUUUAUUAUAACUGAGAAAGAAAAUCCAGUUACCGUCAGACAUUAAAUAUUUUUUGUGUUUUAAUCUGUAACAGAAUUCAGCCUUACCUACAAAUAAUUUUUCGGCAUUCGCCAAUAGUCGUGUUGUCUUUCUUCUAUCGACAAAAUAAUGUAUAGACAAAUCGAAUGUGCUCCUCUCUUCCUAUGAAGUUUGUAUCAAUGCUGCGCGCGUUUCUGUCACAUCAGCGUGUAAGAAUAGUGGUUCCGAUUAGUUUUUGUUUUAUCAUCUCAAGUACAACGACUACGCUUACAAAUAUUGCAGCUAUAGUCACCAAAAAAUUACACUCUGUUUUCAAUUAAGGCCCACAACAGCUGAUUCAAUGUGUGCAUUUCUGUCAUUCGAAUGAAAUUUAUGCUUGUAUCUUCUUGUUUACGUUCGCUGCACUCGAAAUGCGAGAUGAAGAAUAGAAGAUGGGAAGAUUCAUGGGUUUUGGUUGUGUUAAACUUUGAUUGUAUUAGUUUAGUAGCCAGGAAGAUAGGAAGUUCAUACACUGGAGGAAAACAUUAGUAAAUGCAGCUACCAAAUCUUUAGUAGUUGAAACAUUGGUAAAAUGAACUGUAAUGUGCGUACUUCGCAGUCGUCAUUCUUCUUGAGGAAACAAAGCCAUUCGGAGUUUCUAACCUUGGAUUAAAAUUGCACAGUUGACUGGUGGAAUAUUCAAUGUAUACUAGACUAAGCAUUUGCAACACAAAUAAAUGUCAGGAAACGGGAGAGCAAAUAAUGCGGAUGAAAUGUACUGCGAUCUGGUCCCAUCAACUGCCAACUAAUCAGUUGUUCCUGUCCUAAAGGAUGAAAAUGUGUAACAGGAAAAGGAGCAAAACCUUGAUGAGCGAGAAUUUGGAAAAAAAACACAUGAGACUGAUUCGGUCGAGGCUGCGAUUAAAUCUGUCUAUUUGCACGAGCAAUGUUUAGAUAUAGAAUGUAGGAUGUAGGAUAUUACUGUGUAAAAGAUAAUGUAUGAUUGAAGACAGCUUUAUAAAUAAGAAUUAAGUGCGAUUCACAUACAACAUACACGUCACGUUCACGUCCCGUCACGUCACGAUACGUCAAUGAUUCUACAAUGCAAUUCUCAUGAAAACAUUCACAUACACCAGCAACGUAACGACCCGUCAGCAUACGUUCAACGAAAACGGCCGGCAAGGUUUGUAGAAAAGAAUAAUUGACGGAGACGGACGGCUCGUUUGGUUUUUGUCUGAGCUUUGUGUCUCGGCUUUUGUUUUGAUUUGGUUGUACAGUAAUUUACAUCUACAUCGACAUUAAGCUAAUUGAACAGAUCUGUGAUGCAACACGUUUAAUUAGACAUUUUACCUCUAGUUGGACAUUUUUGUGAACAUUGAGUUUGGGGCCCAAAUUAUGACCCUACAUUGAAAGUCGCCACCAGUCGCAAAUGUCCAAUUACUGGUCAAAACCAACUCCAAUGCGACACUGAGUGGUGCCUCAGCAUAUCGCUUUAUAAGUAACUUACUGUACUUUUUAUGCCAACAUAUCUCUUAGCUCCAAAUUUCGGAGUGAAAAUCAUUCGCGACUAGUUGAAAGAAUUAUUCUAUUUAUUAUUAUUGUUGCAUAAGAGUCGGACUACGGGGUUUAAGCAUUUAAAUAAUUGAAUUCAAUGAUUCUCAUUGAAUUUUUCAAAAUUUAGAACUGAUUCUAGGCAUGCUGAUUUGAAAGAGGGCAUUGCAAUUUAAAAUUGUUGUAGGUGGCGACACCAUGAAUAAAAUUAAAUAAAUCAUUCGUUUGGCAUUUGACGUGACGGUGCUGGUGGAAGCCAAGACGGGUCUAUGGUACUAGGUGAGGCCGUUUCGUCACUAAGUUGGUUAGGGGAGCGGUAUAUGAAAACAGCACGGAAGAAAGUAGAAGGGGAAUUAUUUGCUUGUAGCGUGAAAGAGACAGACUGAUCACGAGCGAGCUUCGGCAAUAGCGUAUUGUGUUUUGUUUACAAACAAAAUACAGUAGACUUCCAAGAUGGCUGAAGAGUGGUUUUAGCAAGUUGGCCCACCUUAGUAUAUACUUCUAGGCGCCUUGGUGGAAGCAUUGACUGCAUGUGUGAAUUGGCGGAGACGUUGACGGAACGUAGACGUUCUUCUCCGUAACGUGCUAUGUGAAUCGCACAUUAAUUAUCAACAACAUAAUGUCAUUAUCCCUUAUCAUUAUCUCUUACAAAUAAAAAACAACGUUUUCACUGAUGUUGCUCCAAUGGUGGGCCAACAUGUCCACCAUCUUACAAAAAUAAUGCCUACCAAUUUUCUU